CAGGCUUAACACAUGCAAGUCGAGCUUCAGCAUGGUCUUAGCUUGCUAAGGCCGAUGGCGACCGGCGCACGGGUGAGUAACACGUAUCCAACCUGCCGUCUACUCUUGGACAGCCUUCUGAAAGGAAGAUUAAUACAAGAUGGCAUCAUGAGUCCGCAUGUUCACAUGAUUAAAGGUAUUCCGGUAGACGAUGGGGAUGCGUUCCAUUAGAUAGUAGGCGGGGUAACGGCCCACCUAGUCUUCGAUGGAUAGGGGUUCUGAGAGGAAGGUCCCCCACAUUGGAACUGAGACACGGUCCAAACUCCUACGGGAGGCAGCAGUGAGGAAUAUUGGUCAAUGGGCGAGAGCCUGAACCAGCCAAGUAGCGUGAAGGAUGACUGCCCUAUGGGUUGUAAACUUCUUUUAUAAAGGAAUAAAGUCGGGUAUGGAUGCCCGUUUGCAUGUACUUUAUGAAUAAGGAUCGGCUAACUCCGUGCCAGCAGCCGCGGUAAUACGGAGGAUCCGAGCGUUAUCCGGAUUUAUUGGGUUUAAAGGGAGCGUAGAUGGAUGUUUAAGUCAGUUGUGAAAGUUUGCGGCUCAACCGUAAAAUUGCAGUUGAUACUGGAUAUCUUGAGUGCAGUUGAGGCAGGCGGAAUUCGUGGUGUAGCGGUGAAAAUGCUUACAUAUCACGAAAACCUCCCAUUGCGAAGGCAGCCUGCUAAGCUGCAACUGACAUGGAGGCUCGAAAGUGUGGGUAUCAAACAGGAUUAGAUACCCUGGUAGUCCACACGGUAAACGAUGAAUACUCGCUGUUUGCGAUAUACUGCAAGCGGCCAAGCGAAAGCGUUAAGUAUUCCACCUGGGGAGUACGCCGGCAACGGUGAAACUCAAAGGAAUUGACGGGGGCCCGCACAAGCGGAGGAACAUGUGGUUUAAUUCGAUGAUACGCGAGGAACCUUACCUGGGCUUAAAUUGCAGAUGAAUUACGGUGAAAGCCGUAAGCCGCAAGGCAUCUGUGAAGGUGCUGCAUGGUUGUCGUCAGCUCGUGCCGUGAGGUGUUGGCUUAAGUGCCAUAACGAGCGCAACCCUUGUUGUCAGUUACUAACAGGUUCCGCUGAGGACUCUGACAAGACUGCCAUCGUAAGAUGUGAGGAAGGUGGGGAUGACGUCAAAUCAGCACGGCCCUUACGUCCGGGGCUACACACGUGUUACAAUGGGGGGUACAGAGGGCCGCUACCACGCGAGUGGAUGCCAAUCCCCAAAACCUCUCUCAGUUCGGACUGGAGUCUGCAACCCGACUCCACGAAGCUGGAUUCGCUAGUAAUCGCGCAUCAGCCACGGCGCGGUGAAUACGUUCCCGGGCCUUGUACACACCGCCCGUCAAGCCAUGGGAGCCGGGGGUACCAGAAGUGCGUAACCGCGAGGAGCGCCCUAGGGUAAAACUGGUAA
rnacentral:rRNA from 1 species